rnacentral:tRNA from 1 species
CGGGCUGUAGCGCAGUUUGGUAGCGCGUUUGCUUUGGGAGCAAAAUGUCGCAGGUUCAAAUCCUGUCAGCCCGACCC